rnacentral:rRNA from 1 species
CCUACGGGAGGCAGCAGUGGGGAAUAUUGGGCAAUGGGCGCAAGCCUGACCCAGCAACGCCGCGUGAAGGAAGAAGGCUUUCGGGUUGUAAACUUCUUUUCUCAGGGACGAAGAAAGUGACGGUACCUGAGGAAUGAGCCACGGCUAACUACGUGCCAGCAGCCGCGGUAAUACGGAGGUGGCAAGCGUUAUCCGGAUUUGCUGGGUGUAAAGGGCGUGUAGGCGGGAAGGCAAGUCAGAUGUGAAAACCAUGGGCUCAACCUGUGGCCUGCAUUUGAAACUGUUUUUCUUGAGUACUGGAGAGGCAGACGGAAUGCGUAGUGUAGCGGUGAAAUGCGUAGAUAUUAGGAGGAACACCAGUGGCGAAGGCGGUCUGCUGGACAGCAACUGACGCUGAGGCGCGAAAGCGUGGGGAGCAAACAGGAUUAGAUACCCUGGUAGUC